GACGAACGCUGGCGGCGCGCUUAACACAUGCAAGUCGAACGGUGAACGGGGCUUCGGCCCCGGGAUCAGUGGCGAACGGGUGCGUAACACGUGGGCAACCUGCCCCUCACUCUGGGAUAA
rnacentral:rRNA from 1 species